GUGAGGAAUAUUGGUCAAUGGACGAGAGUCUGAACCAGCCAAGUCGCGUGAAGGAAGACGGUUCUAUGAAUUGUAAACUUCUUUUGUGCAGGAAUAAAGUGGGUUACGUGUAACCUUUUGUAUGUACUGUACGAAUAAGGAUCGGCUAACUCCGUGCCAGCAGCCGCGGUAAUACGGAGGAUCCGAGCGUUAUCCGGAUUUAUUGGGUUUAAAGGGUGCGUAGGUGGAUUGAUAAGUCAGCGGUGAAAGUUUGCAGCUUAACUGUAAAAUUGCCGUUGAAACUGUCGGUCUUGAGUGCAAAUGAGGUAGGCGGAAUGUGUUGUGUAGCGGUGAAAUGCUUAGAUAUAACACAGAACUCCGAUUGCGAAGGCAGCUUACUGGGAUGCAACUGACGCUGAUGCACGAAAGCGUGGGUAUCAAACAGGAUUAGAAACCCUGGUAGUCC
rnacentral:rRNA from 1 species